GUCCUGAGAAGAACUGGGGAUAGUGGUGGAUGAGAAGCUGGAUGUGACCCAGCAAUGGACGCUUGGAGCCCAGAAAGCCAAAUGUGACCUGUUCCUGCAUGAAAAGUGACACAAGAAGCAGGUGAGCAUUUAUGCUCAGUGAUUUUUGUUUUCAUGCCACUUUCAGACGAAGAUAGUUGGAAGAGGAGAACUUUGAAAACCCCCCUGAAAGAAUCUUGAGAGCUACUGUGCUAGUAGACUCUGAACUGAAGACCAUUUCCAAGGGACUCUUAUCUGCAAACUUGCAAUAGGUAGGCUUAAGAACCAGCCAGGUGAUUUCCAGGGGAGGAGAAGGAGAAGAUUCUGUAUCUGAGGGUGAUUCCCUGGUGUCACAUAACCCAAGGCACCUGGUGAGGGGAAACAAGAAGGAUCUGCUGAGUCUACAUCACAGAGGUUGAAGGCCAGCAGUUUUUCUCCUGCAGUUCCUUAUCUCUGAACAAAGCCUCUGCUGGAAAAAUGUUUCAGAUGUACCAGUGGACACUCCCUCUAGCCAGCUAGGAGAGGUUAUUCCAGCUCUGUUGGCCCCUUCCCAGAACACAGAUUUUGCAGGAGCUGCCAUCUCUUUGCUCAGUUGUGACAGUCAGCAUUUUAUGCUGAUGACUCGACAAGAGAAUAUCCCCGUGCCUUUCUGGUCAGUGCCCGAAUGAGGAAAUAAAAGCCACUCGCGGGGUUCGCAGUUUAUCUCUUCACAGGCCGCGGGAGGAAAUGAUGAGGAGAGCGAGCAAAUCUGUUGACAGGAAAGAUUUGUUCUACAAAUGAAGGAAUACUCUCAGGAACAGAAUACUCUCAGGAAUGCAUAAACUCUCAGUUUAUGGGAAGAGACUGUUUUCCAAUGGUCUUCAUCGGAUGUUUCGAGAGAGCAGGGUGCCUCUUGCAGAGACAUCCAGUAACGCUCAGGACUGCCUUCUGUUAAAGACCCAAGAAAUUCUGGAGGCUCCUGCACUUGGUUUCUUACUGCUGACAGUGUACAAAGCUGUGGGGUGUUUUGAGGAAGAAAGGAUCACAUGAUAGAGGAGAAUAGAUGAGAGGACUAAAAUGAACAUGCAAGCUAGUUUGUGUACUCUUUGAUCAGCUGAUUUAAUGAGGGGGAAAACCCCCCAAGCUUAAAAUCAUGCAGGAAACUGCCGCCUUUCAGACCCAAGCCUUGUUUUCAGACACGUUAUCCAUCUGCAAUAAAAGAAGCGCACGUGUCAGCCACAAACAUCGUUGGGAUAAUCAUGCAUCUGGCAAAUGAGUGCUCAAACCCCAUCCUGUGUGAUCGGCCUGGGGCUGACUUGAACUUCAGGAGCAGAUUACAUCAAGCUGCAAGCACUUCUUCUGCUUCAGGGGGUAGCUGAGGGGUCUGCUUCAUUUUCAGAAGCUGACAUUCUACAUCUGAUAGUGGCCAUUGGGUGUUGAAAGAAGAAGCCAUCCUUUUAGGUAGCGUUUAUGUAUGAAAACGCUUUUGAAAAGCGUAAGGAAGCUGAUGCCCACGUACUGAGCUGGUGGUAGUUUUAUUAUGGGAUGUUUGCACAUUUCUUCUUCCAGAAUGGGUUAUAAGCAUCCAUUCUGUGUAUCAAAAAACUUUCUUUGCAAAAGCUGAUUGGCUAAAGUGAUGCCAUAAAAAAGCCAGGAGUCACUGCUUUCCUCUUGUGACUGAAGGCAAAGUGCCAUUUUUACGUGUUUAAAGUAGCAUAUGCUCGUGCACAGAUGGACAAUGGUGCUGACAGAUAAUUAUCUGCACCCAUCUGCAUAAAUCAAGGAGAAGCUAAGACACGCUACAUCUUUCUCUUAGCCCUGCAACGGAGAUUUUGAAAUGCAUCAGUGCACUGAGCAAUGAUUGUAGGCCGAUGGCUAAAACAUUCUGAGAAACUAAUUGGGUUUGUAAGGAAAUCUCACGGUAUCGUGGCAACCUGGGCCCAGAAGUUAACACAUCCAGUCAUUUGGAAAGCAUUGGCAGGUUGGUACAAUAAAUCCUUUGCAAGACUCUCUGGCCCUUUGGUUGCUCCAUGAGUUUGAAGCUGCUCUUAGAUUAGAGUAUCUUCCUAGGAAAUUGAUGGUGUUGUGAGAGUUAGUUUAUCUGCAAGAAGGCACCAGAUGGCAGCAUUUUUCCCUCACUGAGUGUGAUCUCAUCCUCUCGGAUUCACUCCUGGGAUCAUCAGGCUUUGAGGCUGCAUAAGCCACAAUGACCUCAGCUGAACUGCACCUUCUCUGUUGCCACCUGCUCCUUUUUCCUACUUUUAUUGGACGUGCAGAGUCACAUUCAGGUGGCCUGAACACAAUCCAAGCCCUUGAAGUUGUGGUUGCCUUUUGCCUGUGCAGGUCAGAGAGUCUAAAAAGAAACAUUAGCAUACAGGUACACAAAAAUUUAGACUCAGAGAAUACAGCUCUGACCUCUAAAUUUCCCAUAACCUCUAAAUAUUAAGUAUCAUGAAGUUUAUUUGAUAUUCUUGUUAGCUACAUGCUCUUUCCCAUGCACACACACGCACAAUGUAAUACUUGUUUACAAGCAAGUUUGACGUGUGUCCUUUUCUAUCAAUGCUUUAUUCCUUGAAUAAUACUUCACUGUACACAAAUUAUGUAUGACAAGUUAUGUGCUGCUGGACUUGUAACCUCCAUAACCAGAAUUCUGUUCUGGACAAAAAAUCUGAAGCAGGGCAGGGAUUUUGGGAAGUAAAUUGCAAGCUCUAGGUUUUGUUUUUUUUUUUUUUUUUUUUUUACACUUACAGAUGUGGCCUAAAGAUUUAUGGGCUAGGAUUUCUGUUAUCAUUCUAUCCUCUACUCCUCUUCUUCCCUUCAUCCUCAUGUUCUUGCUUUCAAUGCUGCUUUGUUAAGUGUUUUGUCUUAGAAGAAAAAAACCCACACAUUAUGUCCGGCCGUAACAAAUUAUUCUUAAAUCAUCCACCUUUAAAUUUGGAUUCUGCAGCACUGGACUACAAAUAUUUGUUUAUUUGAACUAUGUGACUGACAUUGACAGCAGAAGAAAGGCUCUUUAUCCAAAGUGGGGUUGGAUAGCUGGCCCCCAGAGGGUGAAGGAGUAGCAGCCCUACUGGCUGCUGUUUUCUUUGACUGUUACUGCAUCAGGUUGCUGGUGUUUCUGCUGUGGUGACUGGGUUAAUGCUUUACAAAUGCUAUGAGCUCAGCAGCAGACUAUUUGGGGAUUGGAUAAUUUAUUAACUUCUGACAAGCAGGCCAUUAUUUUUCUGAAGAACAUGUCUGACAAGGGAAUUUACUUUCCUUUUUUUUUUUUUUUUUUUUUUUUCCCAAA